rnacentral:rRNA from 1 species
GAGUGAACGCUGGCGGUAGGCCUACCACAUGCAAGUCGAACGGCAGCACAGUAAGAGCUUGCUCUUACGGGUGGCGAGUGGCGGACGGGUGAGGAAUACAUCGGAAUCUACUUUUUCGUGGGGGAUAACGUAGGGAAACUUACGCUAAUACCGCAUACGACCUACGGGUGAAAGCAGGGGAUCUUCGGACCUUGCGCGAUUGAAUGAGCCGAUGUCGGAUUAGCUAGUUGGCGGGGUAAAGGCCCACCAAGGCGACGAUCCGUAGCUGGUCUGAGAGGAUGAUCAGCCACACUGGAACUGAGACACGGUCCAGACUCCUACGGGAAGCAGCAGUGGGGAAUAUUAGACAAUGGGCGCAAGCCUGAUCCAGCCAUACCGCGUGGGUGAAGAAGGCCUUCGGGUUGUAAAGCCCUUUUGUUGGGAAAGAAAAGCAGCAGGUUAAUACCCCGCUGUUCUGACGGUACCCAAAGAAUAAGCACCGGCUAACUUCGUG